rnacentral:rRNA from 1 species
ACGGCCCACCAAACCGACGAUCAGUAGCCGGCCUGAGAGGGCGACCGGCCACAUUGGGACUGAGACACGGCCCAAACUCCUACGGGAGGCAGCAGUGGGGAAUAUUGCACAAUGGGGGAAACCCUGAUGCAGCGACGCCGCGUGAGCGAAGAAGUAUUUCGGUAUGUAAAGCUCUAUCAGCAGGGAAGAUAAUGACGGUACCUGACUAAGAAGCCCCGGCUAACUACGUGCCAGCAGCCGCGGUAAUACGUAGGGGGCAAGCGUUAUCCGGAUUUACUGGGUGUAAAGGGAGCGUAGACGGCAAGGCAAGUCUGAUGUGAAAACCCAGGGCUUAACCCUGGGACUGCAUUGGAAACUGUCUGGCUCGAGUGCCGGAGAGGUAAGCGGAAUUCCUAGUGUAGCGGUGAAAUGCGUAGAUAUUAGGAAGAACACCAGUGGCGAAGGCGGCUUACUGGACGGUAACUGACGUUGAGGCUCGAAAGCGUGGGGAGCAAACAGGAUUAGAUACCCUGGUAGUCCACGCCGUAA